GGACUGUAACUCAGUGGUAUAGUGCUUGCCUAGCAUGCGUGAAGCCCUGGGUUUGAUCCUCAGCACCA
rnacentral:tRNA from 1 species